rnacentral:lncRNA from 1 species
AAUUGGUUCAACAAUGAACCAAGAGAGAAACUCUCACCCAAUUUUAUGAAAAUGCCAAAACUUUUUUUUAUUCAAAACAAAAACCAAUACUUAUAGUGUAUCUGAACAAAAAGAUAAAAAUAGACAUGGGCCUUCUAAAUAGUUUGGGCUAAAAUUACAAUAAAUAAAAAUUAGAACUAAAAAACAUAUUUAACUUGGGUCUUCAAAUUAAUCUGGGCCUUCAGCAACAAUUAAUAGUCUUGAUAGUGUCUCUGCCUUUGGGCCUUCAUCCUUUUCCACUUGGACCUUCAUCUUUCUCCACUCGAAGGCUUUGUCCUUCUCCACUUAAGCCUUCGUCCUUCUCCACUUGGGUCUUUAACCUGUAUUUGGCCAGUUUCAUGAUUCUCAUCAUUGUAAUAUCUAACAACUUGUUUAGUCCUUUCUAAAAACUGAUUAUAACGAACUAUUAUGUACCACAGUAUCACUACACUCCUCAUGUUUGAAAAUUGCAUUUUUUUUAUUUAUUUACUUGUUUCCAUUCUCUAAUGCAGGAUUCAAUGGACUGUCAGCUUAUGCGGGGUUUUUUGAAUUGUGUAAACCCCUAAAGGGUGAAAAGGUCUUUGUCUCAACAGCUUCUGGAGCAGUUGGAAACUUGGUAGGGCAAUAUGCAAAGCUUUUAGGUUGUUAUGUUGUUGGUUGUGCAGGGAGCCAGAAAAAGGUGAGGUAACUGAAGUUUAGGAUUUUAAUCUUACUUGAGUUUUCAGCUUAAAUGCCUAACAAUCCAUGAAUUAUUGUCAUAGGUUGCAUUGCUUAAAGAAAAGCUAGGAUUUGAUGAUGCAUUCAACUACAAGGAAGAAACAGAUCUAAACUCCACUCUUAAAAGGUUUGUCAGCUAUGAAGCCUCGAUACAAGAUAUGACACGGGUACAAUACGACACAUAUACGGCAAUAUAACAUUUUUUUUAAAAUUAAGGAUUCAACACGUCUUACGUUAAUAAAAAACUAUAACAAAAAAUAUAUGUAUGCAAAUAUGCAGAUUUCUAUUAUAAAAUUUUAUCUAAUGCAAAAACAGCGGAAAAAGUCAAAACCACAACAUCAUCCCGGAGGCACCUCACAAUAGAAACGCGAAAAGCCAAAAACACCCAAUAGAAACACAGAAAAAGGACGAAAACGGAAACCGCGUCGAAAAGGGAACCUCACCUGAACGAAAAAGAUGCAGAGAAUGUGACCUCGUUGGAGAAAGCGCGAACUGUGGUGACCUCGCCGGAAAACACGAGAACAGGGGUGACCUCGUCGAAUAACGCAAACAGAGAAUUCAGUUGCCGAUGUCCGUCGUCCGGAGCCUGUAGUCCGUCGUGUUGUCGCCGUGCUCUGAAGAGAGGUUGCGUGAACGGAAAGGGUUUUUGGGCGCGAGGGAGUCUAUGCUUGAAAC